GAAUCCCGUCUUUGGCAUGGAUGACCGGGGCUUUUGUGAUGCGCUCUCGAAGAGUCGAGUUGUUUGGGAAUGCAGCUCAAAAUGGGUGGUGAACUCCAUCUAAAGCUAAAUAUUGGCGAGAGACCGAUAGCGAACAAGUACCGUGAGGGAAAGAUGAAAAGCACUUUGGAAAGAGAGUGAAACAGUACGUGAAAUUGUUGAAAGGGAAACGCUUGAAGUCAGUCGCGUCGGCCGAGACUCAGCCUUGCCUCGGCUUGGUGUACUUCUUGACCGACGGGUCAGCAUCAAUUUUGCCCCUUGGAUAAUGGCGAGGGAAAUGUGACACCUUUAUAGGUGUGUUAUAGUCUCUCGUCGCAUGCAAGGGUCGGGAUUGAGGAACUCAGCACGCGCCUUCGGGCGUCGGGGCCUUGCCCACGAUACGUGCUUAGGAUGUUGGCGUAAUGGCUUUAAACGACCCGUCUUGAAACACGGACCAAGGAGUCUAACAUGCCCGCGAGUGUUCGGGUGGAAAGCCCGUGCGCGCAAUGAAAGUGAAAGUUGGGACCUCUGUCGCGGAGGGCACCGACGCCCGGACCAGAGCUUCUGCGACGGAUCUGCGGUGGAGCGUGUAUGUUAGGACCCGAAAGAUGGUGAACUAUGCCUGAAUAGGGUGAAGCCAGAGGAAACUCUGGUGGAGGCUCGUAGCGAUUCUGACGUGCAAAUCGAUCGUCAAAUUUGGGUAUAGGGGCGAAAGACUAAUCGAACCAUCUAGUAGCUGGUUCCUGCC
rnacentral:rRNA from 1 species